rnacentral:tRNA from 1 species
CUUUUUUAUAGUGUAAAUGAACACAUUACAUUUUCAUUGUAAAGCUGAAGAAAUCUCUUCUAAAUAC